rnacentral:rRNA from 1 species
GAUGAACGCUGGCGGCGUGCCUAAUACAUGCAGGUCGAGCGAACAGACGAGGAGCUUGCUCCUCUGACGUUAGCGGCGGACGGGUGAGUAACACGUGGAUAACCUACCUAUAAGACUGGGAUAACUUCGGGAAACCGGAGCUAAUACCGGAUAAUAUAUUGAACCGCAUGGUUCAAUAGUGAAAGACGGUUUUGCUGUCACUUAUAGAUGGAUCCGCGCCGCAUUAGCUAGUUGGUAAGGUAACGGCUUACCAAGGCAACGAUGCGUAGCCGACCUGAGAGGGUGAUCGGCCACACUGGAACUGAGACACGGUCCAGACUCCUACGGGAGGCAGCAGUAGGGAAUCUUCCGCAAUGGGCGAAAGCCUGACGGAGCAACGCCGCGUGAGUGAUGAAGGUCUUCGGAUCGUAAAACUCUGUUAUUAGGGAAGAACAAAUGUGUAAGUAACUAUGCACGUCUUGACGGUACCUAAUCAGAAAGCCACGGCUAACUACGU